UGGUUCGAUGAGUCAUCUCGCGGGCAGAAAGAUCACAGGAUAACGCGUUAUCGCAAAGGUCGUCGGCCAGAUCGAUGUUAUCAUCGAACUAAUCAGCGCACAAACAACCGUUCAACGAGACGAAUAAACUGGCAGAAGUCAUGGCGGAAUAGUUGCUUCCUGAAUCGUGCAAGGCGUCAUCUGACGAACAGUAGGCGAGCAUUCUCGAUACCAGCGCCAUGAAAUAGUUAAUCUCAAAGUGAAAUCAUGGUGAAACAAACUGGUGUCCAAUUGAAGUAGCACUAUGGCCAGUUGACCCGAAAUACGCGCUCGAAAUAAUCGCCGCCAUUAGUUUCUUCGCGCGAUCAUCAUUUACUCCGCUAUCAGUGUACGGUGGAAUCGAUCUUUCAUACUGAACAUCUUUCUUGCACCGAAUGAUAUUUCCUUAUCCUUCGGCCAUUUGUAUUUAUUAGCUGAGACGCGUAGUUAUAUAUGUAUGUGUGAAUGUGUGUGUGUGUUCUAUAGAAAAUGGAAUGUGAAUAUAACGAGCAUCAUCCUGUGACAUUUCUUGGAAAUUGGAAGGAUUGAAUGAAAGUCCAUCUUGAGAAUUGGAAAUUGAACAUAAACUUCAUGAAAUUAUUGAAAUUGAACAAGUGAUUCCAUCGAAGAUGCGAAUGGAGAUGCAACGAUAGAACGGCCUUGGGAAGAAACGUUCAACGUCACGGUGAUGGAGAGUUUUCUACACCGGUAUAGCAGACGAGGCUAUCAGAAAGAUUUUUCGCAUAAUCUCCACGGAAAAUUCGAACGAAAAAGAUGACGAAUUGCUGGUAAAACUUGUCAAAGAGGAAAUCGUAAGAACGGCACAAAGCAUCAAAACGCCAACAGGUU